ACACGCAUGACACACUGCAUAUCAAUAAGCGGAGGAAAAGAAACUAACAAGGAUUCCCUUAGUAACGGCGAGUGAAGCGGGAAGAGCUCAAAUUUGAAAUCUUCAAGGUUCUACCUUGACGAAUUGUAGUUUAUAGAAGUGUUUUCUGUUAGUGGAGUGGCAAAAGUUCUUUGGAAUAGGACAUCAUAGAGGGUGAGAAUCCCGUAUUUGGUCAUUCCUCCUAGCGUUGUGAUACACUUUCAACGAGUCGGAUUGUUUGGGAAUGCAGUCCAAAAUGGGUGGUAAAUUUCAUCUAAAGCUAAAUAUUGGCGAGAGACCGAUAGCGAACAAGUACCGUGAGGGAAAGAUGAAAAGAACUUUGAAAAGAGAGUUAAACAGUACGUGAAAUUGUCAAAAGGGAAGCGUUUGACACCAGUGUUGUUUUUCCGAAAAUCAAUUACGAAUGUUUUGUUUUUGAGGAGUUAUGACUUCAUCGGCUUGCUUCUCUCUUUACGAAACUUUCUUAAUGCACUUUUCGGUUAACAAGUCAACAUCAAUUCCUUUUGUUGUAAAAGGGUACGAGGAAGGUGGCUUUCUUUUCGGAGAAAGUGUUUAUAGCCUUGUAGCCUCUGCAAUCGGAGAGAUUGAGGUCUGCAGCGUAGAUCCUUCGGGGUUAGAUACAGUUUGUGCUAAGUUAUAGCUUUUCAUAGACAACUUGUUGACUAUGUUAGUCUUGUAGCUUACUCGCUGACUGCUAUUUUACCUACGCUUAGGAUGUUGAGCGCAUGUCUCUCUCU
rnacentral:rRNA from 1 species